AGCAAGAUUAUUUUAAAAAAGCCUAAAACAGGGCAACAGCAAUGUUAUUAUAUAAAAGAAGACAGCAUUAAAAUAAUAAAGAGGGAUUAAGAAAUGUAAUCAUACACCUUCCAUAUGAAGAGGAAGGUACAACAAUGCAAAGAAGUAAAAGUUAGUCUUAAAUUUAGAAAAAUAGGGGUAAAUAAUACGGUAGCCACAAAGGAGACAAACUGUCCUACUCAUCAAAAUAAAAUACAAGGGAAAAAUACAGACUCAGCAGAAACAAUAUCAACAACAACAAAUAUGAGGAAAGGACAAUAUAGAAAGAUAAUCUACUCAGCAUAUAAAAUCAAGUGGGAAAAGAAACUAUGAACAGCACACAAAAAAAGACAUCAAAAUGAUAGUACUAAAUUCAUAAAAAAAAAAAAAAACCUACCCAUAAUUACCCUGCAUGUAAAUGGACUAAAUGCACCAAUACAGAGACAGACAGUGGCAGGAUGGAUUGAAAAACAAGAUCCGUCUCUAUGCUGCCUACAAGAGACACACCUUAGACUUAGAGACACACUUAACAUCUACUCAAUGGUAGAAAACUGAAUUAUUUCUGGCAGGAGAGACUCUGAAACCUGCUCUUGAACAUACAGUAGCUACAACAAAAGGAAGAAAUGAUGAAAUAAAAGAACUGAACAGAAGAUUUCAAAGGGCGGUUUGAGACGACAAAGUAUUAUAAGGAAACUUGCAAAGACGAAGAGUUAGAAAAGCGCAAUAGAAGAACACGUUCGGCAUUUCUCAGGGUGAAAGAACUGAAGAAAAACUCAAGUCUCAAGUUCCAAUAUUGAAGGAUUCUAUGGGAAAAAUAUUAAACAAUGCAGGAAGCAUCGAAAGAAGAUGGAUGGAUGGCAUACAGAGUCACUGUUUCAAAAAGAAACAGCCAAUAUCCAAACGUUUCAGGAGGUAGCUAGGCUCAAGAACCUAUGGUACCGAAGGAAGAAGUCCAAGCUGCACUGAAGGCACCGGUGAAAAACAAGGCUCCAGGAACUGACAGAGUACCAGCUGAGAUGUGUCAAUGAACGGAUGCAGCACGGGAAGAGCUCGCUUGUCUAUGCCAAGGAAUUUGGAAGACAGCUACCUGGCCAACCAACUGGAAGAGAUCCACACUUGUGCCCAUUCCAAAGAAAGGCGAUCCAAUAGAAUGUAGAAAUUGUCCAAAAUAUCAUGAAUAUCACACACAGGUAAAAUUUUGCUGAAGAUCAUUCAAAAGCAGUUGCAGCAGUAUAGUGACAGGGAAUUGCCAGAAAUUCAAGCCCAGUUCUGAAGAGUGCGUGGAACGAGGGAUAUCGUUGCUGAUAUCAGAUGGAUCUUGGCUGAAAGCAGAGAAUGCCAAAAAGUCUUUUACCUGUGUUUUAUUGACUAUGCAAAGGCAUUUGACUGUGUGGUUCAUAACAAAUUAUGCACAAUCUUGUGAAGAAUGGGAAUUCCAGAACACUUAAUUGUGCUCAUGAGGAACCUGUGCUCAGACCAAGACGCAGUCAUUAGCACAGAACAAGGGGAUACUAUGAGGUUUUAAGUUGAGAAAGGUGUAUGUUAAGGUUGCAUCCUUUCACCAUAUUUAUUCAAUCUGUAUGGAGGAAAUAAUUCAAGAAGAUAAACUAUAAGAAGAAGAAAGCGGGUAUCAGGAUUGGAAGAAGACUCAUUAACAACCUGCAAUAGGCAGAGGACACAACUUCUCUUGCUGAAAGUGAAGAGGACGUGAAGCAGUCACUGAAGAAAAUCAAUGACCACAGCCUUCACUAUGAAUUACACCACAACACAAAGAAAACAAAAAAUCCUCACAUAUGGAUUAAUAAGCAACAUCAUGGUCGAUGGAGAGAAGAUUGAAGUUGUCAAGGAUGUCUUUAUACUUGGACCCACAAUCCACGCCCAUGGAAGUAGCAGCGAAGAAAUCAAUGACAUAUUGCAUUGGGCAAAUGUACUGCGAAAGCCAUCUUUAAAGUGUUAAAAACCAAAAAUGUCACUUUAAGGACUAAGGUGCGCCUGACCCAGGCCAUGGUAUUUUCAAUCGUCUCAUAUGCAUGCAAAACCUGGAAAAUGAAUGAGGAAGACUGGAGAGGAAUUGAUGCCUUCGAAUUAAGGUCUUGGCCAAGAAUAUUGAAUAUACCAUGGACUGCCACAAGAACGAACAAAUCUGUCUUGGAAGAAGUACAGCCAGAAUGCUCCUUAGAAGGAAGGAUGGUGAGAUUUUCUUACGCACUUUGGACAUGUUAUCAGGAGGCACUGGUCCCUCGAGAAGGACAUCUUGCGUGGUAAAGUAAAGGGUUGGUGAAAAGAGAGAGACCUUUAAGAAGAUGGGUUGACACACUGAGUGCAAUACUAGUCUCAAAGAUAGCAGCCUUUGUGAGGAUGGCGCAGGAUCGGCAGUGUUUCCAUCUGUACAAAGGGGCGCCGUGAGUCAGAAUCCACUGGAUAGCACAUAACAACAAAAACACAAGUAGAUGAGUUGAACUGGGGGAAUCACCACCCUGCAUCCUUCAAGUCUUUGAUGGUGGCAGUUAUCUCUAUAAUUCCUCCAGGAAUGCGGUACUGCUUUUGGUUUACUAUUUUCCUAGAUAGGCAGUUCUAAUGGUUUCCCCUUGGCUUUUCCUACCAUAAUAGCCCUUACUCCACUUGUCUGGAAUCCACAAAGGUAGUUCUGCAAGUUGUUGGGUAUUCCAAUUCCAAUUAUGUGUUUAGGAACUGGGGAAAUCACUACGUGAUGGAUUCAGGGACCCACUGAAUCCACUGUGAAAUGAACCAGAGCUAUGGCUCCAUUAAGAACCUGACUUCCGUACAACCGCUUUCUGACCGGUGGGCCACAGUGACAUCUAGGGUCUCCUGGAUUCAGUGUCAGUUCAGAGGCAGUAUCCAGUAAUUCUUACGCUUGUACAGAUCAAGUAACUACUCGAUAGACUUCCCAUCUAUUUCACUCCUAGGGACACCAUGACUAAGUAGCCAAUGCCAUGAGUCCAUAGGAGUCAGGCUACUCUCAUUACUGCUUUGACUCCACUGUCCAUUAUGUGAACCACACCUACCUUGUUCUUGUCCAUUGAGUCACCCGCAUGGCCCCUAACACCGUGGGGUCCAAUCAGCCCCAUUGUAGUUUGGUGUCUUAAUUCAGUUAGGGCAUCUCCCAUUGUGAGAUCUGACUUCCAUAAAAGAACAAUCACAGCAGUCUUCAAGGAUGCUGGGGCUCCCUUCACAAAUUUAUUCCUCACCAUUGCGGUAAAAGGUGUGUCCUCUGAGCAUUCCAUGUGUGGGUCUGUGGGUCUAAGCCGAGAAAUCCACUCUAACAUGCCAGUUUCCCUAAGCCUUUGGAUACCUUCUUCUACUGUGAAAUCAAGGCGGGUCUGGCACUUCAGCUGGGUUUAGUGUGGGCCACCGCUUAAUCUGUGCUUCACUGAAUCAGUCACAUAAACUAUUAAAUCCUUUCCUAAGCUCUCUAGCUGAAACACUGGAUGAAGGAUCUGUGCUUAGUGGACCCAUAUCAAUGAACUCAGGCUGAGGCAACUUUAUGUUCCUUGCACCAUUAUCCCACACCCAUAAUAGCAAUUCCCACACGUAGUCUCCAGGCUUUUGUUUGUAUGUAUUAGAAAAGUCAAGCAGUUCUUUUUCUUUUGGAGUGUAGUGUACCUCCCCCUGGAUCACAUUUUGUGCUUUACCUUUGAGGAUAGCAGGGACUUCAGUCUAGUUAUAGGCCUAGAAGCAACAAUGGGUGUUGGGAAUGUGUCUGGAGAACAUUCAGCAAUGUCUUGUAAGACAUCUGCCUUAAGGGAUGAUGCCCCAGGCAGUGACUCAGACAUCACCCUAGUGGACGACUGAGACAAAGGCUCUUCAGACACAACUGGGUUAAUCUCAGCAGAUGGGGGUCUGAGGGGCUAACAGUUUUCCUGGGGAGGGUGGUUUAGCAGCCAAACAUGGAGUAAUCCCUUCAGGCGGGAGCUGCUAUUUGGUGAUGGCCUUGCUAUUCCUCAAUGAAACUCAUUUUCUUUCACUCCUAAUAGAGUGUGGGAUUUUGUUCUUCAACAACACAAACAAACAGAAAACAUGACCAGAGCCUUUGCAGCAGCAAAUUAGCUAGGAGAAGAUUAUAAUGUAAUGCUUUCAAGUUCUGAUUUAAAGUAGAAUUCUAACCCAGACAAAAUGUGAGGGCAAUCAAGGCAUUUCCAGACAAGUAAGUAAGAACUUAAACAUCUACUUGCAAGGCAUGCACCUUGAGGAAACUGUUGGAGAAAGGAAAUCAGCACAAAGGACUGAUGAGAAAAAAAAAAAAAAAAAGACUGUUUAGGCAUAGAAAAUAAAAACAGGCAUCUGAUCUGUCUGUAAAGAGACUAAAGUAACUCUAAGCGCUCAAUGUAGUCUUUCACCUUAGGUUUGGCGUUGGCUGUCUAGCAGCUCCAGGUAAGCUUUCCCCCAGGUUCUACCCUCCUUCCCUAGGAAUCAACCCAUCACCAUGAAGGAAAUGAGUUGCUUUGCGGAUCAAGCUAAAGAAUGUGAAGACUUAAGGCAAACUUUUGGUAUCAGCCUCCUCAGGUUUCUGACAUGCCCAGCAAAGUGAGAGAUCAUGGAAACUCCUUGUUUCCAUUCUCAUCUGGAGAGCUAACAUUCUGAGCAACGUGAUUGUUAACCAACCAGUCUUGAGAAUAUCCGUCCUGUGGCUGCUUUGUAACCAAGGUGAAACCCCCUUGACCUCCUGUCUUUCAAUUGUGUCUUGUAGCCAGUCAAUCGGCUCACGUAAGCAAUAAUGACAACGAUUGUGCUUUACUUGUCGCGUCUUUGAUUGACCUUCGUCACUGUGAACCAACAAGAAAAACUGUAAUUUUAUUCUCCCCCUUCAGCACUCUGAUUACUCCUGAUUUGCCUUCUUCCCGUGAGAUUCCGGAACGUCAGCCUGAGACUUUGCGAUCUCCCACUGCCACGUCUCCGCUGCAAUAAAUCUCUUUCGAUUUUACCUUAAGGGAGCUGGGAAGUCUUUUCUCUCCAACAUUUUGGCGUAGUUAAUCGGCAGGGUUUUUGGAGUUACCCUUCCCCCGGAGACCCGAAGACCUGAAACACGGGAUUCCGGCACCAAGGGCCCCUUUGUGUGCCCCUCGCUGCAGCUUUUUCGGACCCUUCUGGCUGUCUGGGGGGAGAAGGGAGCAGAGAGACUGGAGGACUUCAUUACCACCAAGCAGAAGAGCCAGGAGCAUUUGCUUUGAACCAGGGGCCCCUGCACUGAGAAGCUGCUAGAUCUGGGGAAGACUGAUGACAAGGACCUUCUCCCAGAGCCAACAGAGAGAGAAAGACUUUCCUAGGAGCUGACGCCCUGAAUUCAGACUUCUAGUCUCCUAGACUGUGAGAGAAUAAAUUACUCUUUGUAAAAGCCA